AAAACGCCAUCGUGGUUAUCAGAUCGAGCAAAAAAAAAAGCGGCUACACAAGAUCGAUGGGGAAAUCACCGUUCUCACUCAUCGGGAAAAAAAAAGGGGCGAUCGCAGAAAUUGCGGGUCAUCGGAGGUGGGUUAGCAACUCACGAGGAGGGGUCCAUCAAGACCGGCGAUCCUUCCUGGUUUUCGUGACUUCAUCGCCGGCUACAAGGAAAACAAAAAGGCAUCAAUAGCAGCGACUGGCGGUGGUGGAGCAGGUGUCGAAGUGGCUGUUCAGUGGGCAAGGAAAACAACGAAAGGUAGGUUGUUCUGGUCUCUUGUGGAUUCGACUAGAGAGAAGAGAAGAUACGAGGGGCUGCUACCCUCAUUGAUUGUCGGAGAUCUCCACCUCCUGUGGAGUUUUUAUGUGAUUGAAAUUAAAGAAGAGGGGAAGACAGGAAGCAAAAUCAAACACUGAUAUUGUGGGGUGUUUUGUUGUUUCAGUUGACAAGAAAUAGAAAGAGGAAGAAAACGGGGAUGCUGCCCCUCUUGGUCUCGCCGGAAAACAGCCACCACCAUCGGUUCCUUGAGCAGUAAAUCACGAGGAAGAAAGAAGAAAGAAGAAAGAAGAGAGAUAAUUUGAAGCAAUGAACCCAUUCCAAGUAGUCCAAGGCUGAAAAUCUCUUAGCUUUCUAUAUGAUUCGGUUGUACCACUGUGAUUCCUUUGGAGUGUUGUUUUGAGUAAGUUGCAUAAUUCUCAAUUUCAUUUAUUGGUUGUACUUUUAUAUAGAUUUAGAAGCAAUAUAAUGCUUCAAUCAUUCUAUGUAUUGAUGUAUAUAUUACAUGUAUUUGUAUAUGUAUAAUCACAUUCUAUGUAUUUAUGUAUGUAUUAACAUGUAUUUUCCAUAUGUACAAACAUGUAUUUAUGUAUUAUUGAGUGAUGUGGUAGAAAAUAUAAAUAUAGAUGCUAUAGUUAUAUUGUCGAAAGUUUAUAUUCAACUAAGCAUGACUCAAAGUGUCAAAAGUACAAUAUCAUAUUUGGAUAUCUUAAAAUGAUAAUAUUUUCUUAACUUUCUCAAUUUGUGUGUCUUUGAUCCGGAUAUGAAAUAAUUUUUCUAAAAUUGAUAAAUAAUAUCUUUAAUAUACUUUAUAAACAUAAAAUUUCACGUAAUUGGUGUUUAUUGUAUAACGGUUCGCGGUGGUUUGACUGCUGAAAUUUGACCAAUUUUUACCAGUUGUUACAUUAUCCCCCCGUUGAAAGGAAUUCCGUCCCGAAAUUCAACGCGUAGAUAAAACAUUUAUAAAACAAUCGGAGGAAUUUUCUUUUUGCUUGACCCACACAUGAUCAUUCUAUAAUCGUUUUAAGUCGCUUAACUAAAGAUUGGUUAUUCAAUCGAAUAGAUGGCUCUAUCCUAAUUCCUACAAAAAGAAAUGGAUAGGAAAUACGAUCGAAUCAAGUCUUUUAACGUUCUCAAAUAUAAUAUAUAAUUCUAUCGCGUGUACUUUACCAAUUAUGAAAUACUCGCACAGUUUCCUAGCUCACUUCAUGGAAGCAAAGAUAACAAGUGUGUCAUCGGAUCGACACUCCUUGACAUUUGGCGUAGGAAAGAUGUCGUUUACACCGUUUAUUUAUCAAGAUAACUUAAUACCAAUAUCAGGAACAAAUUCUGUUAAGAAUUUCUAAGGUCGUUUGAGUUGCAAGUUUAACCUGCCUAGUUCUCUGAGCCGAAUCAUUUCUCUAAAAGACUAGGCAUUUAAAAUCUACAGAGUCUCUGACUUGGAAGUCGAGAGACUUACAUUUUUCGUUCACAUAACUCUCUUGUCUUUCAUGACUAGUCUAAAAUAUUUCUUCGGUUCACAUAAUCUUUUUUUUUUGUGAUCUCAUGAGCGAUUCUUGGAUUCACAUGCAACACAUCACUUGCAUGCUCUCUCUUCAAUUUUGCAUCUUUAAUCAUUGCUCAACUUAAUGGGGAUCAACACUUUUGUUGUACAAAGCCUCAAGCGUUGAGUUCUUUAUGCUAGUGUGACAACUAUCAUUGUAGGAAACUCAAUUAUCAAAAAUGAGUAUUCCAUGCAAUAUUCAAAGUCUGUCAUACAGGUUCAGAGCAUAUUACUCAUGUCUAGAUGGUUCAUUCGGUCUGACCAUGCUCAAGGAUUUCAAUGGUUGUCAAAACUAAUAGGUUAAUCUACUAUCUUAGUGAGGGAGGAUAGAGAUUGGCACCUUAUGUAGUCUGACAAUUUCUUUGGCAAGUACUGGUUAGCUUUUCCAUUUCACAUGGUUCUUAGAUUAGCAGGAAGUAGGCAUACUCAGUCAAUCUUUAGACCACUACUCGAAUAUAAUUAGAAACCAUUAGGUUUCUUGGGUAGUUUUGAUAUAAAGUCCAUUAACGUUGGUUCCCAUUUGUACUUGUCACAACUAGAAAUUUUGUGUCUUGUAAUCACUAUACUCAAGUAAAUGUUGAAUCAAAAACUUAAGAGCAUGCGUGAUACCUAGUAUUAUGACAUCAAAAACUUCAAUCAAAUACAUCAUACAAAUACUACAAAUAGUCAUCAAGCAAUUGGAAACCCUAGAAGUUCUUGUUUAGGUCCAUAUGGGACUAGGACUUCCUUAUUGGACUCAAUGGAUCAAUAAGCUUCCAAUUUGACAACCAUGGGCUUAGAACCCUUAAUUGGGCUCUAAUUGGACCCACAUUAAUUUAUUUCAACAUUUUGGGCCAUAUUGGGCCUAGAAUGAAAUAAAUUAAGAGUUUUGAACCAUGAAUAACCUAAACUAGUCCAACAAAGUGUAAAAAUCAUAUUAUGUUCCUUUUAGGUUAAAACUCCUCCAAGCUAACUUCUACAUGGGCUAGAGGGCAUAAAAGCCCAAAUUUUCCCUUUUCCUUCCAAAUUCUCGGCCCAAGGCCCAAACCCAAGAAGAAAUGAAGAGAGUUGACUUGCAAUUGAUACCUCAUUAUUAUCUUUUGGUUUUCCAUGCAACCUAUUCCAUGUUUCCAUGCAUAUCACCUCAAGGUCUAUUUCUCCCUCUCUCUCUUGCUCUCGGCCAUUUCAAAUACACACACACCUCACAAACUCUCUCUAGAUUACUCAAGAAAUCAUCCUUCCUCUCCAUUCAAAAAUCUCGAAAAUUAAGAGGCUUUCAAGAGGAUAUUUCCACAAACUCUUCAUCUAAGGUAAGGUUAUGCUUGGAUCUAUGACUUAGAUUCUUUGUUUUAUCAAAAUCUCUUCCUAAUCCAUGCAAAAAUCGUGAUCUUGCAUCCUAGAACCACCUCAAACUCGAGAUCUUCAAGAAAAGGGUGCUAAGGCCAAAAAUCACCAAGCUUUCUUCCAUCUUUUCUUCAAAAACCGAAACCACACCCUAAGGUGAGCUUCAUACUCCCUAUUUUUCUGUUUUAUAAGUUUUGUGGGGGGGGGGAUACAAGUGAAAGUGUAGAUCUAUAUGUGUUUUGUAUGUCUUGUAUGAUUUCUAUGCUUAUAUGUGUGUUUUUGUGUGUUUAUGAUGUUGGAUCUAGUCAUAAGCCCCUAAAAAUCGAGAUAUACUUUAUGUUAAAUGAUACUAGCAUCAAAUAUAUUUCUACAUACAAAGUGUUCCAAGAAAAAUAGCUAAGUGGCUUAAUAACAUCUUCUUUGGGCUAAAAACUCAAUUUUUGGACAUAAAAUGUUAAAAAUAUAAAGUUAAAGGGCCCAAAAUGACAUAUUACGAAUUCUGAUGGAUGAGAAGAGUCAAAACAGUUUCAAUAAAGUAUUUUCUGGAAAUAUACUCUUUUGGAGGGUUAAAAAUAUAAAUUUCAAGCUUAAUGGGCUAAAAAUGACAUUUUUGGCCCAAUAGGGCCCAAUAUGCGAAAUUUUCUGUUUUGAAGGGCCAAAACUGUAUUUUUCUGCAAAACAGUGGACUACUAGUGUCCCAAGUCCUUUUCUAAGGUUAAAAAUGCUUUUCAUAAUUAAAAAGGACCAAAGUUGCAAAAAUUUUCCAAUUUGGGCCAAAAGUGUAAAAAUUGCGAAAAGAGGGGGUUACAACCGAGAAAACUGUAUUUUCAGGGACUAAAACUGUUUUCAACUAAAAAUAUGCUGAAAAAUAUCAAUUUCAAUAAGUUUUGGUGUUAAAAUGUCAAGAAAAAUGGUUUAAGGAUCAAACCGGAAAUUUAUUUAAUUAAAGGGUUGAAAAAGUAAAUUUACAACAAAAAGAGGGGCUGUAACAGAAAAGUUGAAAUGUUAAUUCAAUACAUCCGUUGUGAUCAAACACUGGCACUACGACUACCGACGAAUUAUAUUACACAACAACACCAAAAAUCGUUAUCAAACGAAUUGAUUCGGUCUCGAAUCAAUAACAAACCCGAAACUACUAACACGACGAUAACUCGACUCAUACACGGAANAUUUGGGAAUUCAAUACACACGUGAGAGUGCACAGACGUCGACGCACCAUCUUUGGGCCCCAAAGUGUAAAAUCUUGUUUGUUGGGCCUAGCUAGCCCAAUGACUUGAUCUUUAGGCCCGAAGACUUCAACCUUACGAGUUGUUGAGUCUUACAUGAUCCAACACAACGUAAAAGGACUUUCAAUGGCUUUUAUACUAUUGGUCCCCAAGGGUCCUUUGGUACUGCUAGUAAAGUCGGUUAUUAAAAUGCGAGUCGGGUCAAGGGCCCUUCGCACUUUUUUUUUUUUUUUUUAUCCCCAACCGGCUAACGGAGUUAUCGAGGUCUUCGUGCUCUCUUUCUCUUUGGAUGUGGGACUACAAGAAGUCGGGGCGGUUGGAUUACGUGAAUAGUAUGUACGACGCCUACGGGAUCGUUAGUAUAAGUUGUAAACUGGCCGUUUGUGUAACGCGUGUUUAUAGCAAUUCACCAUGCGCAAUAAUCCGACGUCGCCUGGAAUCAAUGACUUCACACGCCGCGGUGGUUCUACAACUACAUGGAAUUCAAAGUAUUAGGAAAAUAUCGGGUUUUCCUAGGGUUUUACAAUACAUACAGUUUCGAAAUGUACACAAGUUUAAUGAACACUUUUUACAACUAUAGAAACAAACAAGCAUACUUAUGGAUCGUCACAAACUUUUUCAGAAAAUAUCGGAUUUUCUGGUGGAUUUCAAAAUAAUACAAAACGUUGCUUUUCAAAUACCGCUUAUGAACUCACCAACAUUUCAUAUGUUGACGUUUUUCAAAAUACUUGUAUUCUCAGGUAACAAGUGAACCAAAGGAAAACGUACUCAGUGAUGGCUUGCCGUUUGUUUAUCUAUGUACCGAACAAUUUAUUUUUGGGAAUGUAAUGCUAAAACAUUGUACUCAGUGUAAACCUUAUCAGUUGUACUAUAUUAAUGCAUGGUGACGAAUGAUGUUAUGUUUCAUAUAUAUUCAAUGUUAUGGUAUUCAAUUAAGUCACGACAGCCCUCGGACGUUUCCGCCGUUUGGUUCGGGGGUGUGACAGUACUUGCGUAUUUCUUUACCAUUACUCUAGUCCUGAGUGUUUCUGACAUUCUGCAUUUGGUACAAUUCUAACAUUUGUCCACUUAAGUGGCAAUCUCCUCUUUCAUGCACGUUCAUCACUUCAAUUCUUUUAAAUCUAAAAAUAUUUAGUCAGAGCCUAGAUGGAUGGGACACUUUUAUCUGUGAGCUUCGUCUAAGACUAUGCUCUCGUGUUCACUGCACUUAGGCGUACAAAUUUGGUUUAUAAAGUAUCGCGUCCCGUCAUCCCUAAGCUUGACUUAUUUAUCCAUCUUUCACAGAGUUUCUCUCGUGAAGCCUUCCCUCUCUCAGAAUAUUGAGUUAAACUUCUCGAAUAUGAGCCGAAGGUUGUGAAUGGAUAUUCAUAAUUAGCAUUCAUACUCAACGAGGUUUGGUACGUUCUUUUCGGCUCAAGACCUUUUCUACUAUGUCAAUCUCAUUACAAUGUUAACGAAUCUCACCCAUCAUGAUGACAACAAUUUUCUCAUUUAUGUCAUUCAACCAAAAGCAUAGGCAUAAACAAAAGGGAAAACAAAAGGGCAUCAAUAGCAGUGACUGGCAGUGGUGGAGCAGGUGUCGAAGUGGCUGUUCAGUGGGCAAGGAAAACAGCGAAAGGUAGGUUGUUCUGGUCUCUUGUGGAUUCGACUAGAGAGAAGAGAAGAUACGAGGGGCUGCUACCCUCAUUGAUUGUUGGAGAUCUCCACCUCCUAUGGAGUUUUUCUGUGAUUGAAAUUAAAGAAGAGGGGAAAACAGGAAGCAAAAUCAAACACUGAUAUUGUGGGGUGUUUUGUUGUUUCAGUUGACAAGAAAUAGAAAGAAGAAGAAAACGGGGAUGUUACCCUUCUUGGUCACGCCGGAAAACAGCCACCACCAUCGGUUCCUUGAGCAGUAAAUCACGAGGAAGAAAGAAGAAAGAAGAAAGAUAAUUUGAAGCAAUGAACCCAUUCCAGGUAGUCCAAGGCUGAAAAUCUCUUAGCUUUCUAUAUGAUUUGGUUGUACCACUGUGAUUCUUUGGAGUGUUGUUUUAAGUAAGUUGAAGUGUAGAAGAAACAUAAUUCUCAAUUUCAUUUAUUGGUUGUACUUUUAUAUAGAUUUAGAAGCAAUAUAAUGCUUCAAUCAUUCUAUGUAUUGAUGUAUAUAUUACAUGUAUUUGUAUAUGUAUAAUCACAUUCUAUGUAUUUAUGUAUGUAUUAACAUGUAUUUUCUAUAUGUACAAACAUGUAUUUAUGUAUUAUUGAGUGAUGUGGUAGAAAAUAUAAACAUAGAUGCUAUAGUUAUAUUGUCG
rnacentral:lncRNA from 1 species